rnacentral:lncRNA from 1 species
UGAGGAUAAAAAAUGGAUACUAAAAUGAUAUUAAGGCAGCAAGUAUGAAGAAUAACAAAAAUAAUGAAAAAUAAAGAAAAGGUAAGCAGAAAAUCAUAGAUUAAAAGCCAGGAGGGAUUUUAGAGAUCAUUAAGUCCAUUGUUUAGUUGAGGAAGCUGAGACCCAGAUAGAUUGUGACUCAUACAAUACUUGGCACAUAGUAGGUACUUUCCAAAUGCUUUCUAUACAAUUAGUUAAGUUCUUGAGUAGUUUCUAGACCCAGAACUUUCUGUGUUGAAGUCUAACACUCUGUACACUACAUGCUGACUUCUUAUAGAAUCAAGAGAAGAGCAUACAUGCUAACCUUGACCACAUAAGAAGAAAUGGAAAUGAGAAUGAAUGGGCAAAGAUUGGCAGUUAAAGGGGGAACCAGGAACAAAGAAAAAAAGGAAGAAAAUGGUUAUGAAGCACCUACUAUGUGCCAGGUACUGGGCAACAUAAUAUUAUCUCUUUGAAUCUUCACUACAACCUUGAAAGGUAGGUUCUAUUAUUAUCUUCAUUUGACAACUGAGGAACCUAAGGCAAACAGAAGUUCAAGUGACUAGCCUAGGGUCACACAGCUAUUAGGUGACUGAUGUCAAAUUUGCUCUCUGCUC